rnacentral:tRNA from 1 species
GCCGGUGUAGCUCAGGUAGUUAGAGCAUCUCACUCAUAAAGAGAAGGUCACAAGUGCAAGUCUUGUCACCGGCA